rnacentral:rRNA from 1 species
CGCGUAGGUGGUCUGAUAAGUAGGGGGUGAAAUCUCACGGCUUAACCGGGAGGCUGCCUUCUAGACUGUCAGACUUGAGCAUGGUAGAGGCAGAUGGAAUUCCCGGUGUAGCGGUGGAAUGCGUAGAGAUCGGGAAGAACACCAGUGGCGAAGGCGGUCUGCUGGGCCAUAGCUGACACUGAGGCGCGACAGCGUGGGGAGCAAACA